rnacentral:rRNA from 1 species
AGCAGCCGCGGUAAUUCCAGCUCCAAUAGCGUAUAUUAAAGUUGUUGCAGUUAAAAAGCUCGUAGUUGAAUUUCGGGAUCAAUAUGCUGGUCGUGCCAUUGGUACGUACUAGUAUUAUUGGUUUCUUCCUUCUGAUGAAUCAUGAUGUCAUUAAGUUGAUGUCAUGGGGAAUCAGGACUGUUACUUUGAAAAAUUAGAGUGUUUAAAGCAGGCUCGCGCUUGAAUACAUUAGCAUGGAAUAAUGAAAUAGGACGUUUGAUUCUAUUUUGUUGGUUUCUAGAAUUGACGUAAUGAUUAAUAGGGAUAGUUGGGGGCAUUAGUAUUCAAUUGUCAGAGGUGAAAUUCUUGGAUUUAUUGAAGACUAACUACUGCGAAAGCAUUUGCCAAGGAUGUUUUCAUUAAUCAAGAACGAAAGUUAGGGGAUCGAAGACGAUCAGAUACCGUCGUAGUCUUAACCAUAAACUAUGCCGACUAGGGAUCGGAUGAUGUAAUUUUUAAUGUA